rnacentral:tRNA from 4 species
GGGUAGAUGUCCGAGCGGUUUAAGGAGCACGCCUGGAACGCGUGUGUGGGGCAACUCACCGAGAGUUCGAAUCUCUCUCUACCCGCCA